rnacentral:rRNA from 1 species
CCUACGUGAGGCUGCAGUGAGGAAUAUUGGUCAAUGGGCUUACGCCUGAACCAGCCAAGUCGCGUGAGGGAAGACUGCCCUAUGGGUUGUAAACCUCUUUUGUCAGGGAGCAACGCCGGCUACGUGUAGCCGGACUGAGAGUACCUGAAGAAAAAGCAUCGGCUAACUCCGUGCCAGCAGCCGCGGUAAUACGGAGGAUGCGAGCGUUAUCCGGAUUUAUUGGGUUUAAAGGGUGCGUAGGCGGAAUGCCAAGUCAGCGGUAAAAUCGCGGGGCUCAACCUCGCUCCGCAGUUGAAACUGGCGUUCUUGAGUGGGCGAGAAGUAUGCGGAAUGCGUGGUGUAGCGGUGAAAUGCAUAGAUAUCACGCAGAACUCCGAUUGCGAAGGCAGCAUACCGGCGCCCAACUGACGCUGAAGCACGAAAGCGUGGGUAUCGAACAGGAUUAGAUACCCGGGUAGUC